GAGCUUGGCAAGAAGCCAAGGAUGGAUCGGAAGCCUGGCGACAGCCCUCCGACACUGCCACCGCAUGCUAACCCGGGGACACGCAGAGCCACAGACCAGACCUCAGAUAAGGAGGAGCUGACAGGAUUCUUCGCAAAUUCAACCGCAGGGACAUCCAGGUGCCCUCCUGCUUUCUGACCUUUGGCAGUCUGAUCCUUCUGUUUGGAAUGCUCAUCUUCAGAUGCCACAUGGUCUACUGGAUGCCUCCUUGUCUAGGCUCAGACCUCAUGUAUAAAAACAGCAUAACUUGCAUGUGAGCAGCCUCUGCUGCGCAUUCCCACGGCCACGACCUGAGCUGCAGCUCCACACCUCCCUCAUCAUCAUGGACUGAAGAGCUCUGAAACCAUGACCGAAAUAAAUGUCCCCCACCUUGACUUGUUUCUGCUAUGUAUUUUUGUCAUAGUAAUACGAAAGCAAUGAAGGCAAUCUUGCUAUCAAG